GGUUGGUGCAAUAUUUAUGGUGGUCACUUGGUGAGGUGCAGAGUUCGAUUCCGCCUACGUACCUUCCUGCGUUUCUGUUUCUGCCAUUUGAAACCAUCUAGGGUUUCGUUUUCUUCUUCACCAGAAUCACCACUCACCAGCCAGCCCCCCUCCCCUCGCCUCUGCAACUGCAAGUGCCAGCCGGACUCUGCCGGGCCAGAUUGGUUUAAUUCAGAUAGAACAAAAUGGGAGGUGGAUUUAGAGUGCUUCAUCUUGUCAGACCAUUUCUUUCCUUUUUGCCUGAAGUUCAGAGUGCUGAUCGGAAGGUUCCAUUCAGAGAGAAGGUUAUAUACACGGUGAUAUCACUUUUCAUCUUUCUUGUGUGUAGUCAGCUCCCUCUGUAUGGCAUACACUCUACAACGGGUGCAGAUCCAUUCUACUGGAUGCGUGUGAUUCUUGCCUCAAACCGUGGGACCGUCAUGGAGCUUGGGAUCACCCCUAUAGUGACGUCUGGAUUGGUGAUGCAACUCCUGGCUGGGUCUAAGAUAAUUGAAGUUGAUAAUAAUGUGCGUGAGGAUCGUGCCCUUUUAAACGGUGCACAGAAGUUACUGGGUAUUUUGAUUGCUGUUGGUGAGGCGGUUGCAUACGUCCUCUCAGGGAUGUAUGGCAGUGUUAGCCAACUUGGUGUUGGAAAUGCCAUUCUUAUUAUUGUUCAACUUUGCUUUGCUGGUAUCAUUGUUAUAUGUCUUGAUGAACUUCUCCAGAAAGGAUAUGGUCUGGGCUCUGGAAUUUCACUUUUCAUUGCAACUAAUAUAUGUGAGAACAUCAUUUGGAAAGCAUUUAGCCCCACAACAAUUAAUAGUGGGCGAGGAGCUGAAUUUGAAGGCGCUGUUAUUGCCUUAUUCCAUCUGCUGAUAACUCGAACUGACAAGCCUCGUGCUCUUCGUGAAGCUUUCUACCGGCAGAACCUUCCAAAUGUAACGAAUUUGCUUGCAACAGUCUUGAUUUUCCUCAUUGUUAUCUACUUUCAAGGGUUCCGGGUGGUUUUGCCUGUGAGAUCAAAGAAUGCCCGUGGGCAACAGGGUUCAUAUCCAAUCAAGUUGUUCUACACCUCAAACAUGCCUAUUAUUCUUCAAUCUGCACUUGUGUCCAACCUGUACUUCAUUUCCCAGUUGCUGUACAGGAGGUACAGUGGAAAUUUCCUUGUGAAUCUUUUGGGUAAGUGGAAGGAAUCAGAAUAUUCUGGUCAAUCUGUCCCUGUUGGUGGUAUUGCUUACUACAUUACUGCUCCAUCAAGCUUGGCCGACAUGGCAGCCAAUCCUUUUCAUGCUUUGUUCUACCUUGUUUUUAUGCUAUCAGCUUGUGCACUGUUCUCAAAAACUUGGAUUGAGGUCUCUGGAUCAUCUGCAAAAGAUGUGGCUAAGCAGCUCAAGGUAUGAUUUCUAUUUUUUAGAGUUUUUGCUCUCCUUAUGUUGUUGAUGCUUGUAUAUUAAAGUAAAUGUGGAUUUUUGGGCCAAAACUACAAAAAAAUGCUGCUAUAAACCAAUGAGUAUGGAUUAUUUUGUGCUCGUUUAUUUUCAAUUAUUACAGUCUUAAGAAGAAAUCAUGCUUGGAUUUCUUACUACGCAAUAAUAUUUUGUACAUCUAACUGGAUUUUAUUUUAGAAGCAUUCUUCCAUAUCUUAAAUAUUUAUGUAUCAUUCGGGUCAAUCAAUGUUUUAAAAGGCUUAGGGAUAAAGUGAGAUGUUUUAAUGCUUAAGAGGAAAGGCACAAGCCUUUUGAGAAUAUUUUUAUAAUAAAAAUAUGUAAAUAAAUGACAUAUAUUUAAAAAUAAAUAAAAAAAUUAGAUCACAAAUGUAUUGUUAAAAAAAUCAAACCUAAUUUGCAAACUACUUGUUGGCUAUUCAAAAAUUGCUAACUUGAAUUCAUUAUGUAAAUCAUGAUAAGAGGUAGCUAUAACAUUAGAAUGUUCUAAUUAUUUUCAAUUUCCAAAAUAUAACUUUCAAUUAUUUUGGAAAGAAUAGAGGUUCAAGAGUUUUAGGAAUCAACACAUAUCAUGAUAUUCCUUUUAUAUAAAUAUGGAGUUAAAAUUUUCCACCAAAAUCUAACGUGAGAAUCACAUGCCCAAAAUGCAUAAGCCUUAACUAAAAAGGUGCAAAAUCAUGCCUUUUGUACAAAUGCAUAAGCUUCAAUGUGUAAUAUGUCAGCCUUUUUUAGAUAUGGUAUUUUAGAUUGAACCUCAAGGCAUUUUAAGCAUGCCUUGCCUUGAGGUGAGCCCUAAUUGAGCCUUUUCAAAUCAUUGAGGACAAUAGAUGAAGCUUCCAACAAUUUGGAGAUAAGUUUGAUAAAUUUGAUGAGAUUCAGAAAGUUACUAGGGAGGCUAAAUUCUUGAUAACAGGCAAGUUUGCAUUUGAUUUGGACUUGCAACUGUGUUGGGGGUAGAGAUAUGCAGAAACAAUGAAACUGGAGAGCUGUAUACUCUGCACUCCUCUCCUUCCUUUGUUUUAUUUUAUUUAAAAUUUGAAAUCCAAGCAAUUUGGCCAUACUAUACCCAGGAUAUUGUUGGCCUUAAGUAUUCUAGGGAAGCAUUAGAGAUGGAGAUGGGUCUUGAAUGAAAGGACAAGAAGGUGAUCUAGACUGAUGCUUUGAAGUGGGCUUCUCAAAGAAGCAAGCUCAACGUGCAUUUUAGUUAAACCUUCAGGAAGGUUUCCAAAAAAGGAGUGGACUGUUCAACAUUUUAGUAGGCUUUUUAAAUGAAGUAAGCCCGAAACUAAAUGGAAAGUUGGCUGAAGCCAAUCACUGAGUGGGUAAGGCUCAGAAGGGAAGGCAGUAGAGAGUAUCAAAGCGGUUAAUUGUUAGGUGUGUCUGUGAUCUGGGUAGGAUGGCUCAAGGGGUGGGUCUCAAAAGGAGGAGAUGACUUCAGGGAGAGAAGAAGAGGAAGAUGGUUCUGAACUGGUUGGAUUUUAGCCAGGUAGGGAUAAAAUCUCUAUCAGAAUGCAACUUUCUUGUGAUAAUUUCUAGAGAGUUGAAGGCUGGGCACUAAUGAAUGCCUUUGAAUUGAUUUAUUGUGAACUGCUGGAGGUGGUGCUGUUUUGUUUGAGACAGGGAAGGAUAAGUUUCGAACCAGUUACAAAGAUAAAACUAGUUCUGUGCUACAAAAAAAAAAAAAAAUGGAAAAAGAUAAACUGAUUCUGAGAAAUGUGAAGGCUGUGAUUUUUUUAUCUCUUUGUACAUUCAUCUAUCUUAAUGAGUUUCUUCAAUAAAAAUGAAGGACUAGAAGAAAUCCAUGAGCAGAGUUUUGGAGUUGUGGCUCAAAAGUUUUGAAGGUAUGGUUUCCACACUUUCCAAAGACCAAAAAAAAAAAAAAGGAGAAAGAGAAAGCAAAUUUGAAAAAGAGUACUGACAGUUGGAGCAGAAAUUGGAGCUCAAGUUUUCUAUUAAAUAUCAUGAAAGUGGGGAAAGUAGCAAGGGUUUGGAGGGACAUGAAGUAAGGGGAAUGCCCUCUAGUUUCUAUGUGCCGAUGAAAAUUGUUUCCUAAAAUGUUAGGGGGUUUAUGAUCUAAUUCCUUAGAUGAGAAUUGUUAGGCGUCCCAACCGGGAGUAUAUAGAGUCAAGAGGGGGGGUGUGAAUGGACUCUUUUCGUAGAAUUCGUAUUUUUCUACACAAUAAAAUACUUAGCAAGAUUGCAAGCAAUUAUAUCACAAUAUACACAAAAUAAAUUAUACACAAGAUAAAAUAAAGAGUGAAGGGAGAGAAAGCUUAACAUCGGAGAUUUAACGUGGUUCGGCACCAAGCUUAUGCCCAUGCCUUAGCACCAAGUCAAGGAUUUUACAAUCCACUAUGAACACUCCUUCACCGGCGGAGCAAGCCUUACAACUCGGGUACUAAACCCUACACUCGGGAACAAAUCCCUACCGUGCUCACCAAGAGCCUUCAGUUCACCAAGAACCUUCACCAAGCGGUUCACAAAGAACCUUUACAACCAAGAAGAUGAUUUACAAAGAGAUGCUCCUUUAAUUUGAGCUGAUAACAAAUACAAACCAAACCUCACACGACUCUCUCAAGGAUUGAAUCAAACAAGAUAUAUGAGUAAGAGAGAACUUGAGCACUCUUGAAUGAAUGAACAAAGAUGCAAAGUGCCUAGGUUUUGUAUUCAAGGAUAUUUUUCACUAUAAGCUUGUAAUAAUAAUCAAAACCAUGCUAAACAAGUCUAUGGACUUGUAUUUAUACCCAAAACACCCAACUAGCUGUUAUUGGACCGUUGGGAGCAAUUCCCAAACAAAACUAGCCGUUUUCUAGCCGUUAAUACACUGUUCACGAGACCACUAGUCGACUAGUCACUCUCACUGGUCGACUAGUCACCCCACUGGUCGACCAGUCCUCCAUAGGCACAGUGGGGCGAAGAGGCUUCCGCCUCAAACUAGGUGGGGCGAGGUGACGUUAGGCAAGACGAGGCGUAGUGGGGCGACAGGUGCAAUGAGUCACGCCUUGUGAAUUUUUAGUCAUUUAAAGGAGAGAAAUAGCCAUAGGCCCACAGCCAGACCCGUAGCCCUCAUUCUCGAACGAAUAGAGCCCUAGCCCCUUUCGGCCCUUCGAAGCCCGUCGUGAGUUCGUCUUGCACAUUUGAACCAGUAGGAGCCUUCGCGAUGCUUCGAACCAACAGCGUGAGCUCGUCUGCGAGCCUUCGAACCAGCCAGAAGCCUUUGCAACUUCGUCUUCGUGCUUCGAACUAGGAUCGUGUGUUUGUCUCUGACAUUUUGAAGAAGCACGACCCUUCGCGACUUCGUUUCGAACUAGCAAGAGCCCUCGCUUGUUUGUUUGCCUGCCUUCGAACUAGCCGUGAGUUCGUCUGCUUGCCUUCGAACACGACGUGAGUUCGUCACGUCAUCUUCGACAUUUCGAACAGCAGCGAGCUCGUCUUUGAGCCUUCGAACCUUCAUAAGUCUUCUUCUUCUUCUGCUGCUUGCGUCUUGCUGCCUGUUGCUUCUUCUUCUUCUUCUUGCUGCCUGCUGCCUGCUGCUUCUCUUCUUCUUCUUCUUCUUCUUCUUUAUACGUAAGCUUAUAAAUUAAAUAUUUAGUUUAAUUAAUUUAAGCUUAUAAGUUAUAACUAAUACAUAAUAUUUAUUUAUUUUUACUGAAAUUUAGCUACUGUUUUUUAAUUUGUAAUAUUUAGUUUAAUUAAUGUAAGUUUAUAAAUUAUAACUAAUACAUAAUAUUUAUUCUUUUUAUUGAAAUUUAGUUACUCUUUUUAUUCUUCUUCUUUAUAUGUAAUUACUAAUUAAAUAUUUUGUUUAAUUAAUGUAAGUUUAUAAAUUAUAACUAAUACAUAAUAUUUAUUCUUUUUUUUUGAAAUUUAGCUACUGUUUUUAAAUUUGUUUGGAAAUGCAUUAUAUAAGUCUUAAAUUUUAAAUGGGGUUAUUGCCUGGAUUAGGCUAUUAGCUACUAAUACAAAAUGAGUUAUUGCCUAAUUUGCCUGAAAUAUUUGAUACAUUGUUUUUUCAAUUAGGAUACGAAGUCUAAAAUCUUAAAUGGAUUUUGGUUCUGGAUGUGACACCUCGGCAAAGAAAGAUCUUGCAUGGAAGUAUGCACAUUUUGAUGAUACGAAAAAUAGAAAUAAUUUGACUUGCUUUUUUUGUGGUAAAGUCACAAGGGGAGGAAUAUUUCGGGCAAAACAACACAUUGUCGGAGGAUUUUGAAAUGUGAAAAAAUGCUCUAAGUGCCCUGCUCAUGUACAUGAGGAGAUUAAAGAGUAUAUGUUGAAGAAAGAUAUGGAAAAGGAGGAAAAUGAGCUAUUGCCCGACUUUGAUGAUAUAGACCAUUAUGGUGAAGAUGAAGAAGAUGAUGAAGAUGAUGAAGAUGAAGAAGAUGAUGAAGAUGAAGUUCAAGAAAUUGACACCUGUGGCAUGAGAGUGCUUACUGGUGAUGGAAGUAAAAGAUCAUACAAUUAACUUGAAGAAACCAAAACAGAAGGGGCCUACAGACUUGUUUUUCACUCCCAAUCCAAAGAAAGCGGUUCAAGCUAGGAAAGAAGGGAAGAUGAAGCAAACAUCAAUAAAUGAGGUGUGCAAGAAAGAACUAAGAAGAAAGGCAAUGGGAGAUUUUGCUAAGUGGAUGUAUGAUGCUGGAAUACCAUUUAAUGCUGUACGUUUGAGCAACUUUGCAGUGGCACUUGAAUUGAUUGGACAAUAUGGUCUUAGAAUAAAGCCACUUAGUUAUCAUGAAGUGAGAGUUCCUUACCUUAAGCAAGAAGUUAGUAGAAUGAAAGAGUUGUUGAAGGUUUAUAAGGAGGAAUGGGCAAAAUAUGGCUGCUCAAUUAUGUCUGAUGGUUGGAGAGAUUCAAUUGCUAAUAAGGACAUAAUAAACCUCUUAGUGAACUCUCCAAGGGGAUUAGUGUUCAUCAAGUCUAUUGAUGCUUCUAAUCUUGUCAAAAAUGUAGAUAGAAUGUACAAAUUACUCGAUGAGAUGGUUGAGGAUAUUGGAGAAUCAAAUGUGAUUCAAGUAGUAAUUGACAAUGCUUAAAAUUAUGUUGCAGCAGGGAGAUUGUUGGAAGCAAAGAGGCUCCAUUAAUAUUGGACACCGUGUGCUGCUCAUUGUCUCAAUUUAAUUUUGGAGGAUAUCGGGAAGAUGCUUUUAAUUCAUGCAACUUUGAAAAGGAUAAUUUUUUUUUUGAAUGGUUAUAUCUAUAACUGUGUUGGUGUGGUGAACUUGAUGAGACGGUUCACUGGAGGAAAGAGUUACUAAGGCCUGCAGUUACAAGAUUUGCAACUGCCUUCAUCACCCUUCGUUCAAUCCACCUUCAAAAGAACAACUUGAGGAAUAUAUUUACUUCUGAAGAUUGGAAUACUACUAAAUGGGUAAAGGAGGCAGUUGGCAAAAGAGCACCUAGUAUUGUUUUUUUGCCUAUCUUUUGGAGUACCAUUGUCUAUGCUCUUAAGUUAGUAGGCCCAUUUGUUCGUAUACUCCGUUUGGUUGAUGGGGAAAAGAAACCUGCAAUGGGAUACAUUUAUGAAACAAUGGAUAGGGCUAAGGAAGCCAUAGCUAAGGCUUUUGGUGACAGAAAGGAUAAAUUCAAGGAGACAUUUGAAAUUAUUGAUACGAGGUGGGGAUGCCAACUCCAUCAACCGUUGCAUGUAGUUGCACACUACUUGAAUUCAGAAAUUUUCUAUUCAAACCCCAACAUUUUGCAAGAUGAAGAAAUUAUGAUGGGUUUGUAUAAAUGUAUUGCAAGGUUACUCCUAACCCGUGAAAUGCAAGAUAAAUUUCAAAUGAGUUGGAAAAAUACAAUGUCGCUAGUGGCGUCUUUGGAAUUAGUUUGGCAGUGAGACAAAGGAAGACAAAAGCACCAGUGCAAUGGUGGAUGACAUUUGAAUCAACAACUCCAAACUUGCAAAAGUUUGCUGUGAAAAUUCUUAGCCUCAUGUGUAGUGCUACCGGUUGCGAAAGAAAUUGGAGCUUAUUCCAACAUCUUCAUAGCAAAAGGAGAAAUAGGCUAUCCCAUCGAUGCUUGAAUGAUUUGGUAUUUGUGAAAUAUAAUCGAACUCUGAGGCGUCGAUACAAAAAACGUGACACCAUUGAUCCCAUCCUCCUAAAGGACAUUGAUGAUGGUAAUGAGUGGUUGAUUGGUAGGAUGGAUGGCGAUUCCGAUAAGGAUGAUGAACUUGUGUUUGAAGAUGAUAUUUUGACUUGGGAUUUUGUUGCUAGAGCUGCUGGACUAAAUAACCCCUCGCAUCACACUAGAUCAAGAAUAAGUGCAAAUAUGUCAUCAUCAUCUAGAAGAAGAGGAAGAGCUUCAUCUAGCAGUGCAACUAGUGCUAGGGGUUGGACCACAAUGUUGGAACUUGUAGAUGUGGAUGAAAAUUAAGUGGAUAGUGCAUAGGAGAUGGAAGAGGAAAAAGAUGUUGGAGAAAACAAUUCUGAUGAUGAAGAGGAAGAUGAUGAUAUCUUCGCAGACCUAGUUGACGAUGAGUGAUGACUGAUGAUUGAGGAGGAUUUUUAGAUUUUAUACUUUGAAAUCUUUUAUUGUACUCUUUUUCUUUGGAUGUUGAACUCUGUUGAAUUGUUGAUGCUUUUGGGCUUCGUCCUCGCAAUUUUAUUAAAUUUUCAAUUUUGUUAUU